CGGCCGCGUCGACGUGGCGACCGACGAUAAGCUCCGGGGAGCUGGAAGCAAGCAUUGAGCCGGAGAUGUCCGAAUGGGGCAACCCAGUAAGCAUCAGUUGAAUACAUAGACUGAGAGCGGCGAACCCAGCGAAUUGAAACAUCUUAGUAGCUGGAGGAAGAGAAAGCAAUAGCGAUUUCCCAAGUAGUGGUGAGCGAACGGGAAACAGCCUAAACCGUAAUAAUGUCAAGUUGUAAGGCGUUGUUAUUGCGGUGUUGUAGGGCGGCGAGUGGUAUACUUACAUAUAUCGACUUUGCUAUAUAUGAUAGUGGAACUGUUUUGGAAAAGCAGGCCAUAGUGGGUGAUAGCCCUGUACACGAAAUCAUAUAUACAAGGUUUUGUCGUUCCUGAGUAGGGCGGGUCGACGCGGCCG
rnacentral:rRNA from 1 species